rnacentral:sRNA from 1 species
GCUGGGUGUGGUGACACACACCUGUAAUCCCAGGACUCAGGAGGCUGAGGCAGGAGGAUUUCGAGUUCAAAGCCAGCCUCAGCAAAAGUGAGGCACUAAGCAACUCGGUGAAACCUGUCUCCA